rnacentral:rRNA from 1 species
AGCGAACGCUGGCGGCAGGCUUAACACAUGCAAGUCGAGCGGGCACCUUCGGGUGUCAGCGGCAGACGGGUGAGUAACACGUGGGAACGUACCCUUCGGUUCGGAAUAACGCUGGGAAACUAGCGCUAAUACCGGAUACGCCCCUAUGGGGAAAGGUUUACUGCCGAAGGAUCGGCCCGCGUCUGAUUAGCUAGUUGGUGGGGUAACGGCCUACCAAGGCGACGAUCAGUAGCUGGUCUGAGAGGAUGAUCAGCCACACUGGGACUGAGACACGGCCCAGACUCCUACGGGAGGCAGCAGUGGGGAAUAUUGGACAAUGGGCGCAAGCCUGAUCCAGCCAUGCCGCGUGAGUGAUGAAGGCCUGAGGGUUGUAAAGCUCUUUUGUCCGGGACGAUAAUGACGGUACCGGAAGAAUAAGCCCCGGCUAACUUCGUG